rnacentral:rRNA from 1 species
UACGUAGGGUGCGAGCGUUGUCCGGAUUUAUUGGGCGUAAAGAGUUUGUAGGCGGUUUGUCGCGUCGGGAGUGAAAACUCAGUGCUUAACACUGAGCCUGCUUCCGAUACGGGCAGACUUGAGGAAGGUAGGGGAGAUUGGAAUUCCUGGUGAAGCGGUGGAAUGCGUAGAUACCAGGAGGAACACCAGUGGCGAAGGCGGAUCUCUGGACCUUUCCUGACGCUGAGAAGCGAAAGCGUGGGGAGCAAACAGGAUUAGAUACCCUGGUAGUCCCU